rnacentral:lncRNA from 1 species
CUCUUAUCUCAUUGGCUCAAAAUGUAGCAGAUGCACGGAACCAAUCAGAGUGGCUUCCUGAAGUUGUGGACCGUUUUAAGCCAAUCAGAGCACGUCCCUGGAGCGAGGGCGGGACUUUGCCUGUGUAAGAAGGGGAUGUUACCCUGCCAAACACUGCAGUUUCGUUACGGAGAGAAAAGGGAGGUGGAUGUCUUACAUCUUUAAAGCAGCAAGUCUGUCCCCUUCGUGCUCAUUGAGAAUAUCUGAUACCUUCAUGUUUGGACUCAUCCAGCCCCCAUCUCCUCAGUCUAUCUCAGAUCUGACAGUGGAGGCUGCUUUGUCCAGGACCAACCUUUUCUCUUGCCUCAUUUCUGCUAUGCCAGCUGAUGAAGAGCAUGCUAUGCCCUCAGCUUCUUGGACUUCACCCUGGCCCUGGAAGUCUGCCGGAAAUCACUGAGGGUUUCUGUAUUGUUGAAUGAUGCGAUCUGCCUUCCUUUGGGAAGAUAACCUUGUCCUGGGAUUAGGAAGAGGAGGAAGAGCUCUACACCCACCUGAUCUCAAUGUUCCAGAGAGACUUCUUCUAUCAGCCUGGAUACUUGUGUCAGCUGCUGUAACUUCUGAAAUCAGGACACGUGAGUCUUCCAACUUCUCACUUUUUCAAGAUUGUUUUGGCUGUUUAGGAACCCUCUUGUUUGCACAUGACUUUUCUGAUCAGUGUGUCAAGAGUAGAAUUUUAAUAGGCCUUGUAUUGAGUAUGCAGAACAGUUCGGGGUGUGUUGCCACCUUAACAAUAUUAAGUUUUCUGAUCCAUGAAUGCAUUGUAUCUUUCCAUUUUUAA